UUUAGAUACCCUAUCAGCCUGAGAAUGCUGAAUCUCAUCUGCCUUGGAAGCUAUGCAGGAUCAGGCCUGGCUAGUACUUGAAUGGCAGACUACCUGGGAGUACCAAGUGCUCUAGGC
ensembl:rRNA 5S_rRNA 5S ribosomal RNA